AGGCGCGUAGCUCAGCUGGUUAGAGCGCUACCUUGACACGGUAGAGGUCGGCGGUUCGAGUCCGCCCGCGCCUACCA
rnacentral:tRNA from 3 species